rnacentral:rRNA from 1 species
UGCGUAGGCGGAAUAUUAAGUCAGUGGUGAAAUCCUGCGGCUCAACCGUAGAACUGCCAUUGAUACUGAUAUUCUUGAAUGUAGUUGAGGUAGGCGGAAUGUGUAAUGUAGCGGUGAAAUGCUUAGAUAUUACACAGAACACCGAUUGCGAAGGCAGCUUACUAAGCUAUGAUUGACGCUGAGGUACGAAAGCGUGGGGAGCGAACAGGAUUAGAUACCCUGGUAGUC